GGGGCGAAUCAAUCGGAUCAAUCAGAUGCGAACGGCAAGGAUGGAAAGUUCCAUCGUUCGCAACGAUGAGGUCGUCGGUUCGAUCCCGACUAGCUCCACCA
rnacentral:tRNA from 1 species